GAGCACUGUUUCGGCAAGGGGGUCAUCCCGACUUACCAACCCGAUGCAAACUGCGAAUACCGGAGAAUGUUAUCACGGGAGACACACGGCGGGUGCUAACGUCCGUCGUGAAGAGGGAAACAACCCAGACCGCCAGCUAAGGUCCCAAAGUCAUGGUUAAGUGGGAAACGAUGUGGGAAGGCCCAGACAGCCAGGAUGUUGGCUUAGAAGCAGCCAUCAUUUAAAGAAAGCGUAAUAGCUCACUGGUCGAGUCGGCCUGCGCGGAAGAUGUAACGGGGCUAAACCAUGCACCGAAGCUGCGGCAGCGACACUGUGUGUUGUUGGGUAGGGGAGCGUUCUGUAAGCCUGUGAAGGUGUGCUGUGAGGCAUGCUGGAGGUAUCAGAAGUGCGAAUGCUGACAUAAGUAACGAUAAAGCGGGUGAAAAGCCCGCUCGCCGGAAGACCAAGGGUUCCUGUCCAACGUUAAUCGGGGCAGGGUGAGUCGACCCCUAAGGCGAGGCCGAAAGGCGUAGUCGAUGGGAAACAGGUUAAUAUUCCUGUACUUGGUGUUACUGCGAAGGGGGGACGGAGAAGGCUAUGUUGGCCGGGCGACGGUUGUCCCGGUUUAAGCGUGUAGGCUGGUUUUCCAGGCAAAUCCGGAAAAUCAAGGCUGAGGCGUGAUGACGAGGCACUACGGUGCUGAAGCAACAAAUGCCCUGCUUCCAGGAAAAGCCUCUAAGCAUCAGGUAACAUCAAAUCGUACCCCAAACCGACACAGGUGGUCAGGUAGAGAAUACCAAGGCGCUUGAGAGAACUCGGGUGAAGGAACUAGGCAAAAUGGUGCCGUAACUUCGGGAGAAGGCACGCUGAUAUGUAGGUGAAGUCCCUCGCGGAUGGAGCUGAAAUCAGUCGAAGAUACCAGCUGGCUGCAACUGUUUAUUAAAAACACAGCACUGUGCAAACACGAAAGUGGACGUAUACGGUGUGACGCCUGCCCGGUGCCGGAAGGUUAAUUGAUGGGGUCAGCGCAAGCGAAGCUCUUGAUCGAAGCCCCGGUAAACGGCGGCCGUAACUAUAACGGUCCUAAGGUAGCGAAAUUCCUUGUCGGGUAAGUUCCGACCUGCACGAAUGGCGUAAUGAUGGCCAGGCUGUCUCCACCCGAGACUCAGUGAAAUUGAACUCGCUGUGAAGAUGCAGUGUACCCGCGGCAAGACGGAAAGACCCCGUGAACCUUUACUAUAGCUUGACACUGAACAUUGAGCCUUGAUGUGUAGGAUAGGUGGGAGGCUUUGAAGUGUGGACGCCAGUCUGCAUGGAGCCGACCUUGAAAUACCACCCUUUAAUGUUUGAUGUUCUAACGUGGACCCGUGAUCCGGGUUGCGGACAGUGUCUGGUGGGUAGUUUGACUGGGGCGGUCUCCUCCUAAAGAGUAACGGAGGAGCACGAAGGUUGGCUAAUCCUGGUCGGACAUCAGGAGGUUAGUGCAAUGGCAUAAGCCAGCUUGACUGCGAGCGUGACGGCGCGAGCAGGUGCGAAAGCAGGUCAUAGUGAUCCGGUGGUUCUGAAUGGAAGGGCCAUCGCUCAACGGAUAAAAGGUACUCCGGGGAUAACAGGCUGAUACCGCCCAAGAGUUCAUAUCGACGGCGGUGUUUGGCACCUCGAUGUCGGCUCAUCACAUCCUGGGGCUGAAGUAGGUCCCAAGGGUAUGGCUGUUCGCCAUUUAAAGUGGUACGCGAGCUGGGUUUAGAACGUCGUGAGACAGUUCGGUCCCUAUCUGCCGUGGGCGCUGGAGAACUGAGGGGGGCUGCUCCUAGUACGAGAGGACCGGAGUGGACGCAUCACUGGUGUUCGGGUUGUCAUGCCAAUGGCACUGCCCGGUAGCUAAAUGCGGAAGAGAUAAGUGCUGAAAGCAUCUAAGCACGAAACUUGCCCCGAGAUGAGUUCUCCCUGACCCUUUAAGGGUCCUGAAGGAACGUUGAAGACGACGACGUUGAUAGGCCGGGUGUGUAAGCGCAGCGAUGCGUUGAGCUAACCGGUACUAAUGAACCGUGAGGCUUAACCUUACAACGCCGAAGGUGUUU
rnacentral:rRNA from 1 species